UACAGAGGGGGCAAGCGUUGUUCGGAAUUACUGGGCGUAAAGGGCGCGUAGGCGGCCUUCUAAGUCGAACGUGAAAUCCCCGGGCUCAACCCGGGAACUGCGUCCGAUACUGGAAGGCUUGAAUCCGGGAGAGGGAUGCGGAAUUCCAGGUGUAGCGGUGAAAUGCGUAGAUAUCUGGAGGAACACCGGUGGCGAAGGCGGCAUCCUGGACCGGUAUUGACGCUGAGGCGCGAAAGCCAGGGGGAGCAAACGGG
rnacentral:rRNA from 1 species